rnacentral:lncRNA from 1 species
GGAUCCGAGGUACUGUAGCAGCUCGGAUCACUGUAGCAGCCCAGAUUUACUGUAGCAAUCCGGCCGAAAUUUGGCCGGAUUUGUGGCCGGAUUCCUGGCCGGAUUUGUGGUCAGAGAAGGCUGCUUUUUACGCGGAAAACUCAAUUUCACCUCCACCAACUCACAUGUGAUGCUAGACAUGUGAGAAACAUUCCCAGCUGUAAAAGGGAGA